GACGAACGCUGGCGGCGUGCUUAACACAUGCAAGUCGAACGAGAAGAGAUGAGAAGCUUGCUUCUUAUCGAUUCGAGUGGCAAACGGGUGAGUAACGCGUAAGCAACCUGCCCUCUAGAUGGGGACAACAGCUGGAAACGGCUGCUAAUACCGAAUACGUUCUUUCUGUCGCAUGGCAGAGGGAAGAAAGGGAGGCUCUCCGGAGCUUUCGCUGGAGGAGGGGCUUGCGUCUGAUUAGCUAGUUGGAGGGGUAACGGCCCACCAAGGCGACGAUCAGUAGCCGGUCUGAGAGGAUGAACGGCCACAUUGGGACUGAGACACGGCCCAGACUCCUACGGGAGGCAGCAGUGGGGAAUCUUCCGCAAUGGACGAAAGUCUGACGGAGCAACGCCGCGUGAACGAUGACGGCCUUCGGGUUGUAAAGUUCUGUUAUACGGGACGAAUGGUACGACGGUCAAU
rnacentral:rRNA from 1 species